UGCCAGCAGCCGCGGUAAUACGAAGGUCCCAAGCGUUGUUCGGAAUCACUGGGCGUAAAGGGAGCGUAGGCGGCGAGGUAAGUCAGAUGUGAAAUACCGGGGCUCAACUCCGGAACGGCAUCCGAUACUGCCUUGCUAGAGUAGUGGAGGGGCGACUGGAAUUCACGGUGUAGCAGUGAAAUGCGUAGAGAUCGUGAGGAAAACUAGUGGCGAAGGCGAGGCGCUGGACACUUACUGACGCUGAGGCUCGAAGGCCAGGGUAGCGAAAGGGAUUAGAUA
rnacentral:rRNA from 1 species